rnacentral:rRNA from 1 species
GAUGAACGCUGGCGGCGUGCCUAAUACAUGCAAGUCGAGCGGAGUUAUGGGGGCUUGCCCCUAUAACUUAGCGGCGGACGGGUGAGUAACACGUAGGCAACCUACCCCAAACUCUGGGAUACCUAUUGGAAACAAUGGUCAAUACCGGAUAAGCUAACAAAAUCGCAUGAUUUUGCUAGAAAAGAUUUAUUGGUUUGGGAUGGGCCUGCGUUAGAUUAGCUGGUUGGUGGGGUAAAGGCCUACCAAGGCGACGAUCUAUAGCCGACCUGAGAGGGUGAUCGGCCACACUGGGACUGAGACACGGCCCAGACUCCUACGGGAGGCAGCAGUAAGGAAUAUUGCACAAUGGGGGAAACCCUGAUGCAGCAACGCCGCGUGAAGGAAGAAGGUUUUCGGAUCGUAAACUUCUUUAGUCUGGGAAGAAAAAAAUGACGGUACCAGAAGAAUAAGCCCCGGCUAACUACGUGCCAGCAGCCGCGGUAAUACGUAGGGGGCAAGCGUUAUCCGGAAUUACUGGGUGUAAAGGGUGAGUAGGCGGUUUUUUAAGUCAUAUGUGAAAGCCUGAGGCUCAACCUCAGCGAGCAUAAGAAACUGGAGAACUAGAGUAUGGGAGAGGUAAGUGGAAUUCCUAGUGUAGCGGUGAAAUGCGUAGAUAUUAGGAGGAACACCAGUGGCGAAGGCGACUUACUGGACCAAAACUGACGCUGAGUCACGAAAGCGUGG